rnacentral:lncRNA from 1 species
CCACAGUCCCUUACUGCUUUUCUGCAUAGGGAGAGAUGAAGCAGAUAUAUGUGGAUCAAAAGGGAUUUCAGGAUCUUGGGACGAUGGCUAAAGGAACUGAAUAUGCACAUAAUCUUUUCUUCUCUGCUUCCUGUAUUGAGUAAGGGCACAGAAACAAACCAAAGUUUAAGGAAGAGACAAGACUGGAUGCCUUGCUGAAAUGUCUCUACACCAAUGCAUGCAGCUGGGGAAACAAACAAGAGGAGCUGGAAGCUACUGUGCUACCAUGAUAUAGCUGUCGUCACUGAAACCUGGUGUGAUGAUUCCCACAACUGCCUUUGUUCUUCUGGUAAGAGUGCCAAACAAGAAUGCAAUCAACUGCAGACUUCUGCCUAUUCCUUAAGGGCUGGUCCGGCCCGGUUCCGUGACUAGUGGAGUGGAGGGAUUUCGCAAAAUCUGCGCCUCCAGGAAGGGAAACAGGGGACCCCAAAAUAAUUAAAAACAGCGGCAACGAUCUGAGGAGAAACAAACCAAUUUACUAAAUAUAGUAUCGGAAUGUAAGAUAACACACUAUAAUACAAUAUAAAUCAACAAUAAUUGAGAGAAAGAUUGUCUGAGAGCCAAAGGCCUUACGCUAAUACUGAAGCCUUGCAUGCAGUCGGGAACAGCAGUAGUGAGCCUAUCCAACAGGGAACACAACGAGACAAGAAGAGGGCCGAGUCAGAUGACCUGCACCCUUAUAUCUGUUCCCCUAAGCAGGAAUGAUAACAGUACUCGAAAAGUCUCUUGGGGACCAUAGUUCUUCUUCUCUUCCAGACAGGUAUCCGGACCUAAAGCAUUUGCUCUUUAACUCCCAG